rnacentral:rRNA from 1 species
AACGAACGCUGGCGGCAGGCCUAACACAUGCAAGUCGAGCGAGGUAGCAAUACCUAGCGGCGGACGGGUGAGUAACGCGUGGGAACGUGCCCCUUGGUACGGAAUAGCCCCGGGAAACUGGGAGUAAUACCGUAUAAGCUCUACGGAGGAAAGAUUUAUCGCCAAGGGAUCGGCCCGCGUUGGAUUAGGUAGUUGGUGGGGUAAUGGCCUACCAAGCCGACGAUCCAUAGCUGGUUUGAGAGGAUGAUCAGCCACACUGGGACUGAGACACGGCCCAGACUCCUACGGGAGGCAGCAGUGGGGAAUCUUAGACAAUGGGGGAAACCCUGAUCUAGCCAUGCCGCGUGAUCGAUGAAGGCCUUAGGGUUGUAAAGAUCUUUCAGUGGGGAAGAUAAUGACUGUACCCACAGAAGAAGCCCCGGCUAACUCCGUG